GUAGGUGGCAAGCGUUGUCCGGAAUUAUUGGGCGUAAAGCGCGCGCAGGUGGUUCUUUAAGUCUGAUGUGAAAGCCCCCGGCUCAACCGGGGAGGGUCAUUGGAAACUGGGGAACUUGAGUGCAGGAGAGGAAAGUGGAAUUCCACGUGUAGCGGUGAAAUGCGUAGAUAUGUGGAGAAACACCAGUGGCGAAGGCGACUUUCUGGCCUGUAACUGACACUGAGGCGCGAAAGCGUGGGGAGCAAACAGGGAUUAGAUACCCUGGUAGUCCACGCCGUAAACGAUGAGUGCUAAGUGUUGGGGGGGUUUCCCGCCCCUCAGUGCUGCAGCUAACGCAUUAAGCACUCCGCCUGGGGAGUACGGUCGCAAGACUG
rnacentral:rRNA from 1 species